UACGGAGGGUGCGAGCGUUGUCCGGAAUCACUGGGCGUAAAGGGCGCGUAGGUGGUGGCUUAAGCGUGCGGUGAAAGCUCGGAGCUCAACCUCGGAUCGGCCGUGGCGACUCGUGGGCUGGAGCACUGUAGAGGCGGGUGGAAUUCCGGGUGUAGCGGUGGAAUGCGUAGAGAUCCGGAAGAACACCAGUGGCGAAGGCGGCCCGCUGGGCAGUGGCUGACGCUGAGGCGCGACAGCGUGGGGAGCAAACAGG
rnacentral:rRNA from 1 species